rnacentral:rRNA from 1 species
CCUACGGGUGGCAGCAGUGGGGAAUAUUGGGCAAUGGAGGCAACUCUGACCCAGCAACGCCGCGUGAGCGAUGAAGGUCUUCGGAUUGUAAAGCUCUGUCGCAAGGGACGAAGUAUGACGGUGCCCUGUAAGAAAGCCCCGGCAAACUACGUACGCGCAGCCGCGGUAAUACGUAGGGGGCUAGAGUUGUCCGGAAUUACUGGGCGUAAGGGGAGUGUGGACGGUUUGUCACGGUAAGGGGGAAAGCCUGCGGCUUAAACGCAGAAGUGCACUUAAAACUGACUCGCUAGAGUGCAGGAGAGGUGAGUGGAAUUCCUAGUGUAGCGGUGGAAUGCGUAGAUAUUAGGAGGAACACCAGAGGCGAAGGCGGCUCACUGGACUGUAACUGACGUUGAGGCUCGAAAGCGUGGGGAGCAAACAGGAUUAGAUACCCCAGUAGUC